GAAAGAGUGACCGAUGGGUUGGGCCUUGGAAGAUGAGAUGCGCUAGGUGGGGAUAUUAGGAGAGAGCAUUCUUGGCAGAGGGAAGCAUGUUAGUAACGACCUGGAGGUGCGGAGAAAAGAUGAGUCUCCUGAGGCCUCCCUGCAACUUAGUAGGUGGAAUCAAGAUUCAAACCCAGAAAACUCAACUUCAAAGCCCAUGCUCGUAACCACUAACUACCUAGACUGCUUCCCAUGCAGCAAAUAGUGAGGGCUGACCCUGGGGCAUUUCCGAGGAAGAACUGACAGAAGUGGGUGACAGAAUGGAUGACAGGGGAAGAAAUGGAGAAUGACUUCAGGUCACCAGUACACAGCCUUCUUAUUUGGC
rnacentral:lncRNA from 10 species